rnacentral:sRNA from 1 species
CCUUAGCCAUUUUGGCUCAAG